ensembl:lncRNA
ACAGCAUUUUUCUCUUUUUUUAGGCCAAGCCACGUAGCUUGCAAAUCUUAGGUCCCUGGCCAGGGGUCGAAUCCAGGCUAGCGACAACGGAAGUGCAGAGUCCUAACCACUGGACUGCCAGGGAAUUCCCUGGUCUUAGGUGUGGCAAGUGGAACCUUCAGUGGCGGCUUGUGGGAUCUAGUUCCCUGACCAGGGACUGAACUUGGGCCCCCUGCGUUGGGAGCACAGAGUCUUAGCCAGUGGACCACCACUAGUGUGCAUAUGAGGACUUCCCAGCUGGAACAGAGGUAAAGAAUCUACCUGCC